rnacentral:rRNA from 1 species
UACGUAGGUGGCAAGCGUUGUCCGGAUUUACUGGGCGUAAAGAGCGCGCAGGCGGUCGGAUAAGUCGAAUGUGAAAGCCCCCGGCUUAACUGGGGAGGGUCAUUCGAUACUGUUCGACUCGAAGGCAGGAGAGGGAAGCGGAAUUCCCGGUGUAGUGGUGAAAUGCGUAGAUAUCGGGAGGAACACCAGUGGCGAAGGCGGCUUCCUGGCCUGUUCUUGACGCUGAGGCGCGAAAGCUAGGGGAGCAAACGGG